CCUACGGGUGGCAGCAGUGGGGAAUAUUGGGCAAUGGGCGCAAGCCUGACCCAGCAACGCCGCGUGAAGGAUGAAGGUUUUCGGAUUGUAAACUUCUGUCGCGAGGGACGAAGAAUGACGGUACCUCGUAAGAAAGCCCCGGCUAACUACGUGCCAGCAGCCGCGGUAAUACGUAGGGGGCAAGCGUUGUCCGGAAUGACUGGGCGUAAAGGGAGUGUAGGCGGCCUUGUAAGUUAGAUGUGAAAUCCUACGGCUUAACCGUAGAACUGCAUCUAAAACUGUGAGGCUGGAGUGCAGGAGAGGUGAGUGGAAUUCUUGGUGUAGGGGUAAAAUCCGUAGAGAUCAAGAGGAAUACUCAUUGCGAAGGCGACCUGCUAGAACAUAACUGACGCUGAUGCGCGAAAGCGUGGGGAGCAAACAGGAUUAGAUACCCUGGUAGUC
rnacentral:rRNA from 1 species